GACAGAGGUGCCAAGCGUUAGGCGGAAUCACUGGGCUUAAAGCGUGUGUAGGCGGGUGCCUAAGUACCUUGUGAAAUCCCACGGCUCAACCGUGGAACUGCUCGGUAUACUGGGUGCCUUGAGCCAACUAGGGGCGACCGGAACAAACGGUGGAGCGGUGAAAUGCGUAGAUAUCGUUUGGAACGCCGAUGGUGAAAACAGGUCGCUGGGGUUGUGCUGACGCUGAGACACGAAAGCCAGGGGAGCGAACGGG
rnacentral:rRNA from 1 species